GAUGAACGCUGGCGGCGUGCCUAACACAUGCAAGUCGAGCGAGAUUUAUGCAAGUGGAGACUUCGGUCAAAGCGAACAUAAUGAAAGCGGCGGACGGGUGAGUAACGCGUGAGCAAUCUGCCCCAUACAAAGGGAUACCCACUGGAAACGGUGAUUAAUACCUUAUAAGACCACAGAGCAGCAUGGUUCGGGGGUCAAAGAUUUAUCGGUAUGGGAUGAGCUCGCGUCUGAUUAGCUAGUUGGUGAGGUAAUGGCUCACCAAGGCGACGAUCAGUAGCCGAACGGGGAGGGUGAACGGCCACACUGGAACUGAGACACGGUCCAGACUCCUACGGGAGGCAGCAGUGGGGAAUAUUGCACAAUGGGCGCAAGCCUGAUGCAGCAACGCCGCGUGAAUGAUGAAGGCCUUCGGGUCGUAAAGUUCUGUCCUAAGGGAAGAAUACAGUGAUGGUACCUUAGGAGGAAGCCCCGGCUAACUACGUGCCAGCAGCCGCCGUAAUAC
rnacentral:rRNA from 1 species